AUGUUGGUUUUUUUUUUUUUUUGUGGUUACUUAGAAUCAACUUCUACUCUUUUGGUGGUGGCUGAUUGAAUAGACUUGUGCAUUUUUCAUAACCGCUGCUUGGACUCUAUAUGAACAUUAUUCGUAGUUUCUGUUUUGAAUCGACCUGUUUGUUAUUUGUAGUGGCUAUUUGAAAUCGGCUUGUGCUUUUUUUGGGGGGGAUAGAUCUUUAAAAUCGGACUUCUGAGUAGUUAAGGGGGAUGCACAGUGAGAAAACAUCGAUCUAGGUCAAAAAUAUCGAUAUUUUAAAAUUAAUUGAUUUUAAUAGUUUAAAAUGUCUAGAAAACGAAUUCCCUAUCAGAAUACUAAAAAAACUGCGCUUUAUACAUCAAUUUUGUAUUUUAAAAGUAGAUGUAUAAGCAAAAUUUUGAUGUUUUGGUUAAAAAUCAACAUUUUGUAAGCUAAAGUUGAUAAGCUAAUGUACGCUCUUAUCCCUAACAGAUGGUAUCGAUACAAAGGUCUACUUUUCUAGUUCCGAUUAUGAGCAUGGUUUCUCAUUCUAUAAAUAUAAACUUUCAAAAUACGUCACUACCUCUUUUUUUUUCCUAUAUCCUCAUAUACACACUCACUAAGCCAUAUUUACGCAUGCGCACUAUCAAAGCUACAUUGGUAACUAUGACAACAAAAUUUGCACGCAUGCGCACAUGACGUGAACCGGUCCUCCUUCUGUAAACAAAGCUUCCUUCACAUCAACACUCGAUUCAUUAUUCAAACUCAGAAAUGCCAACAAAAGGUUAGAUCUAUAUGUUUGGAAAGAAAAAACGUUACUGUAAGCCCAGAGGAAGACAUGCUUCAAAGACAAAUGCAUAAUUACAAAGCUCUGUUUUCGAUACAGCUGGAUCUGAAGCAGCAACAACGCAGCCUGCAAGUGCAGCUGAACGAAAAAUAAUUCUAACUGCAAUUACUAACGCUGAUAACACCAAUAAGAGGCUGCCUGAAGAUUUCAUAUACGUCAUGAUGAAUUCAAUGGAAUUGACCACAAUGGUCUCCUUGUUGUGCUGUCCACAUUGCUUUGACAAAAAAUUAACCAUGUGCAUCACACAAUCAAAAGGCAUGGCUCAUUUGAUUAAAAUCAAAUGCCUAAAUUGUGAAACAUAUUUGUGGCCUGACUGGACCUAAAAAAAAAGUAAUAAUGUUCAUCUGGAUAUUAAUGUCCGCGCUGUCGCUGCAUUAAAAGAAUCUGGAAUCUCGCAUUCUAAAUUUGAUAGGUUUUGUGGACUUAUGAGUAUGCCCUGCAUGCACAGAAAUACUUAUAACAAUCUAGCUAACAUAGUCAACACUGCUAUAAUUGAAGCUGGUGAAGAAUGUAUGAUUAGGGCAUCUGCUGUUGUGCAUGGAAGAAACAUUUCACAACCUCUGACUACAGAUGAUAGAAUAAGUUCAACAGGCUGUCCUGUUAUUACAGUUUCUUUCGAUGGGACUUGGCAUAAAAGGGGCCACUCAUCUCAUUCAGGAAUUGGCACAGUUAUUGAUUUUGAUACUGGACUCGUCAUCGACACCGAAGUCCUAUCAAAUUAUUGCUGUAUUUGUGAUUCAAACUCUGCAGAACUAAAUUUUGAUGCCUCUAAGCAUAUGUGUCAAAAAAACUUCAGUGGCUCAGCAAAUGCAAUGGAGGCCGCAGCAGCAUCCAAAAUUUGUUCUCACUCUGUGGCAUCAGAAAACUUGUUUAUGGCAUGAUGCUGUGUGAUGGCGAUAGUAAAUCACAUUCAUCUGCCAUUACCAACUCAGGAUAUGAUGUAGAAAUCUUAAAAGAGGACUGCAUUAACCACAUCUCAAAAAGAAUGUUUAAUGCUUUGAACAAUUUAAAAAUGUCUAACAAAAAAGAACUAAAUUAUAGGCUUACAAAGCCAAAAAUUGAAAAAAUUACAAAUAACUAUUCCAAAGUUCUGCGCCAAAAUGCUCCUGACAUUCAAAAAAAUGAAGCUGGCUGUUAUGGGCUCAUUUUUUCAUAUGAUGAGCUCAGACCUAGAUCAUAACCACAGGUUGUGUCCUGAUGGCACUACAUCUUGGUGUCACACUUUAAGAGAUCAGAGACACUAAAACAGCCAUACAAAAAACAUAAUCAGACCAUCACAUCAGAAAUAGGAAAACUGUUAUUUCCUAUAACAGACACAGAUCUGUUAAAAACAUGUUCAAGAAUGGGAACACAAAACGCCAAUGAAUCUUUUCAUUCCCUCAUUUGGCAAAGAUGCCCCAAAACAGAAUUCGCAACAUUAAAAACUAAAGACGGCGACAUACCUUGCUGUUUUAGCCUUCAAUAAUGGACCUGUUUUCAUCAGUUUUUGACAUAUUAGUCGUUCCCUGGACACUAAAGAACAUUUCUUCUAGUGAGAAAAAGCAAAAUGUCAAACUACAGCUUGUUGUUAGAAAAAGAAGAUCAAUCACAUUAGUGUCCAGGAGAAAAAAAUUGAAAAAACGAAGAAUUGAGCAUGAGCACCGGGCAGAGGUUCUAGAAGGUCCAACCUAUCAAUCAGGCCAUUUUAAUGAAUAGUUUUUUUAUUAUAUAUUAUGUUAUAUUAUGUAAAUAUUCCCUUUUUUUUAUAUUUUUAUGGUUGCAAUAAAUAUUUUAUAUCAUUUUAAAAACUUUAAAUGCGUUUUUCUCAAAAUGUAUUUUUAGGUGCAUGUUGUCCACAAGAAUCUCAAAAUCUUUAGUUCUGUAUAAUUUAGACUAAUAAUUUUUCACAUGUAGUUUAUUGAUAGUAUAUCAUAGGUAAUAGGCUGCAAAAAUUUUCAAUAUGUUUAAUUUUCAUAAAAAAAGAAAAAUAAUGAUGUGUCCGCAGGUGAAAAAUGUGGUCUGAAAAAAAAAAAAAAUUUUUUAAUUCAUUUUGAGGUUAUGAUGCGACAAAAUGUAUUUAA